AACUUUUAACAAUGGAUCACUUGGUUCUGGCAUCGAUGAAGAACGCAGCGAAAUGCGAUAACUAGUGUGAAUUGCAGAAUCCAGUGAACCAUCGAGUCUUUGAACGCACAUUGCGGUCGCCGGCAUUCCGGCGACCACGCCUGUCCGAGCGCCACUAAACCCCCCUCGAGCUCCCUUCUGAGCUCGGCGUUGGGGGACCGCUGGAACCCCAGCGGUCCCCCGAAACUCAGUGGCGGCGGCGCUGUGGCGCGACGCGAGUAGUAGCUUAACUCUCACGAAGCCCCUGCGUCUGCUUGUCGGCAACGAGCCCCCCAACAUAAUCUAAUGGUUGGCCUCGGAUCAGGCGGGAGUACCCGCUGAACUUAAGCAUAUCAAUAAGCGGAGGCU
rnacentral:misc_RNA from 1 species